AUAGAUGAGUAUGCCUGCGUCUGGGGCAAUAAAGUAGAAAAACCAGGUGCUGGGGAGGACGGCUUUAAGAAAGAAUGGAAAAAGUCAGAUUUUCGUUCCUGAAAAUUCACUCUGGAAAGAGGAAAUACCUGAGCAAGGGAGAUGGAGGUAAAGUUGUCAUUACAUCCUUGUAAUUCUGUACAUUUUUCCUUCAUAUAAUUCAAGACAAUGUUGUUGGGUACAAAUAUUUGCAAACAGUGGGUGCUCAACGAAUAGUUUUGGAAUGAAUGAAUCAGUGAAAAAAGUCUGUCAACCCAUAGCCUAUGGAAUGGAACAAAACAUCAUUCGACGGGGAUAUAUUUCACGGAGUCUUGAGACUUCACUGGGGGAAGGAGGAAUGUUCGGCGACUGGGAGACCUCUUUUCACCUACCACACGCCAGGCAUCAUGGCUAUGCAGGGCUCUGCCACAUCUGGACACCCUCUCAUUAUUCAUACAUGUAAAAAUGGGGCAACAUCCCAAAUAAAUUAGCCUAUCGGUCAUGAAUUUUACUGUCGGAGGAGACCUCCAAUUCUCAAACACGUAAAUGCACACAGAGAAUAACAUACGCGUUUCAAUCACAGCAGAGUUGCCAUUUGCCGUCAGGCACCGUGCUAUGUGCUUUACACGCAUUAUCGUGGAUUCUCAUAAACUUCUUUGAGGCAGGUUUCACUUUACUCCCAUUUUGCCCAUAAGGUAAUUGUGCUGUAAGGCGAUCGUGCGCCUUGCCCAGGUUAUAAGGGACAACACUGAAGGUCUCCCAGCUCUGCCUGACUCCAGCCUCUCCCAAUCUGCAGCCCGGUCUCUCCAGACCCACAGCAUGGACUGUGUUUCCCUGGGUGCCAGAGGCAUGUCCCUACCAUCCAUCUGCUGCUACCUUUUUGUUUUGUUUUGUUUUGUUUCUUUGCGGUACGCGGGCCUCUCACUGUUGUGGCCUCUCCCGUUGCGGAGCGCAGGCUCCGGACGCGCAGGCUCAGCGGCCAUGGCUCACCGGCCCAGCCACUCCGCGGCAUGUGGGAUCCUCCCGGACUGGGGCACGAACCCGUAUCCCCUGCAUCGGCAGGCGGACUCUCAACCACUGUGCCACCAGGGAAACCCUGCUGCUACCUUUUUUUAAUGCACUCUAAACCCAGUAUUUUGAAACUAUUUUGAAUCCAAACAUAUGAGUAUGCACUCCAAAUUCAGUAAUCGCCUUAGCAAAUUCUGAGCUGACCAUAGAGGUUUUUAAAUGGAUUCAAAACAGCAGCCCAGCUGACUUCAAAGAUUUAGUUUGAAUAACCAUUUUAUACAGAAUUAUUAAGUCAAGAAAAUGAGAGUUAUUAACUUUGCAAGAUUCAAUUUUUAACUUUACAAAAUGAAGACUUUAUUUUAAAAACCUGCUUUAAAUAUCAGAAUUCUAUCCUGGUCCAUUCAACUGCAUGUAUUAUACUGAUGUGAUAACUUGUAGGAACAGACUGGAUAGACUAGAAAUUCCACAAAAUAAAAUUUAGUCUUUUGAUACUCAAGCCGACUCAGUAAAACUAAUAAACAAAUAUAACAAUACAUAGCUUUAGGGCAACUGGCAAAUGAAGCAUUUGGGAAACCUGCAGAGUUGGAAUCCUACCCCCAUCUCAACUGUCAGAAUGGUGAUUUUGACUAACCGUCUGAUGACAGAUAAACCUUGAUUUUUAACCCCAGUUUCCCAUUUACUUGUUAUGUGAACUGGAACAAUUAACAGCUUCCUGGAACCUUGUCUUUUCUCAUGUGUAAAACCAGGAGGUCUGCUAAAAUUGGUUGUUGUGUAGCUUAAGUCAAUUAGUGUUUGUAAGCACCCUAGCACAGCACCAGGCCAUCAUAAGUCCUCAAUGCCUGAUGACCGAAAUGAAAAAAAAAAAAAAAAAAAAUUCUUGGUCCGAAACAAAUUCCAAAUCAAUCUGAUAGAAAAUAGCAGAGGAAAAAAAAAUCAUUGUCAUGCUCUUGGGAUGAAAAGCCUCUGUAAAGCACAACCCGAAAAGUGAAGCAAAAACAGCAUGUGUAUAAGCACAUUUAAUUUGAGACUUCUGUGCAUCUAAGGUUCUCCCCUGGGAGGUAGGAUUGCAUAGUGGUUAAACAUCGCCCAAGUUAACAUAUUAGCUUCACCACCUCAUAGCUGUGUGAUCCAGGACAAGUUAAUAAUAAAACCUACUUCACAGGGCUGUGUGAUGAUUAACUAGUUAAUAUUUAUAAAGAACUUAGUGCCUGGCAUGUGGCA